UCGGAUCGAGAUCAGUGGCCUGCUUCUGUUUGGAAGACUAGUGAUUUUGUUGUUUUCUUGUCUGUUGAUUUGACAACAAGUCACAGUCUGCCAUACAGCACCAGGCAGAACACCGUGACGACAAA
rnacentral:pre_miRNA from 17 species